CCACGGGCGGCAGCAGUGGGGAAUAUUGGACAAUGGGGGGAACCCUGAUCCAGCCAUGCCGCGUGUGUGAAGAAGGCCCUCGGGUUGUAAAGCACUUUCAGUGAGGAAGAACGCCUGGUGGUUAAUACCCAUCAGGAAAGACAUCACUCACAGAAGAAGCACCGGCUAACUCCGUGCCAGCAGCCGCGGUAAUACGGAGGGUGCGAGCGUUAAUCGGAAUUACUGGGCGUAAAGCGCGCGUAGGUGGCUUGAUAAGCCGGUUGUGAAAGCCCCGGGCUCAACCUGGGAACGGCAUCCGGAACUGUCAAGCUAGAGUGCAGGAGAGGAAGGUAGAAUUCCCGGUGUAGCGGUGAAAUGCGUAGAGAUCGGGAGGAAUACCAGUGGCGAAGGCGGCCUUCUGGACUGACACUGACACUGAGGUGCGAAAGCGUGGGUAGCAAACAGGAUUAGAUACCCUAGUAGUC
rnacentral:rRNA from 1 species